rnacentral:rRNA from 1 species
AUUGAACGCUGGCGGCAGGCCUAACACAUGCAAGUCGAACGGUAACAGGAAGCAGCUUGCUGCUUCGCUGACGAGUGGCGGACGGGUGAGUAAUGUCUGGGAAACUGCCUGAUGGAGGGGGAUAACUACUGGAAACGGUAGCUAAUACCGCAUAACGUCGCAAGACCAAAGAGGGGGACCUUCGGGCCUCUUGCCAUCGGAUGUGCCCAGAUGGGAUUAGCUAGUAGGUGGGGUAACGGCUCACCUAGGCGACGAUCCCUAGCUGGUCUGAGAGGAUGACCAGCCCCACUGGAACUGGAGCACGGUCCAGACUCCUACGGGAGGCAGCAGUGGGGAAUAUUGCACAAUGGGCGCAAGCCUGAUGCAGCCAUGCCGCGUGUAUGAAGAAGGCCUUCGGGUUGUAAAGUACUUUCAGCGGGGAGGAAGGCGAUAAGGUUAAUAACCUUGUCGAUUGACGUUACCCGCAGAAGAAGCACCGGCUAAUUCCGUGCCAGCAGCCGCCGCCG